AAAAAAAAAAAAAAAAAAAAAAAAAAAACAGAUAUUAAUAUUUACUUUUUUAAAUACAAAAUUUGGUAUGUCUUUUUUUUUAUAACGUUUUUCUUCAAUACUUUUAUGCUUAAUAUUUCCUUUCUAUUUAUAUAUAUCAUAUACAGUUGCUUUUCUAAUAUAUAUAUAUAUAUAUAUAUUUUUUUUAUGCUAAUAAAGGUAAAAAGAAAGAAUCAUAACAAGUAAUAGAGAAAAACGCGAAAAUUUAAUCGAAUGUUUAACAAAAAUAGACGAUAUCUUAAAGUACCAAGAAAAUUUAAAUACAUGUUCUGGUAUUAAAUAGCUACGUAUAUGAGUUUAUAUUAACAUGUGUAAAAUUAUUGGGAAAAAAAAACACAAUUUAUUUUGCAUGAAUUAAACACAUACGUAACGCAUUAUACAUAUAAUCAUUAAAUUAAUAAAUAAAUAAAUACCUUAAAGGUAAUUUAUAUAUAUAUAUAUAUAUGUACAUUUUUGUAAGUAAAUAAGUAUGUAUAUAAAGAGCUGGACAAAGAAAAUUUAAGCCCUUCAUCUAUAAAAGAGCAAUAAUACAAACCAAAUAGGAAUAAAUCGUAAUAUGCGGACGUCAUAUAUAUAUAUAUAUAUAUAUAUAUGCACAGCCGAGUGAAUUAUCAAUCAAAAAAAAAAAAAAAAAAAAAAAAAAAAAAAAAAAAAAAAAAAAUGAAAGAAAUGAAAGAAAUAAAACAUGCUGAUGUAAAACAUUUUUUGGAUACCUACUACACAGGUAACAAAUUAAGUUCCGAGUUAACGGAAGUAUUUGAUUUUUACGAAAGGAAUAGUCACAAAAACAAUUUUUUUAAAAUAUUUGAAGAAUAUUUAGAAGAAUAUAAUAAACGUAUAAUAAAAGAUGAAAAUAUGUUAAAAGGCAUUGUAGUAUAUAAUUAUGAGUAUGUAAAAUUAUUUAAUAAUGAAUUAAUUGUUAAAUCAGGAGUAGAAUGUAAUAAUAAAUAUAAUUUUUAUGUUAAUUAUAUUAAUAGUAUAGACGAGUAUUAUAAAUUUUUAGGACUUGAUUCUUCUAUUAUUUCUGAUUGUAUUAAUAAAAAAAUUACAUUUUUUAGUGAAUUAUAUACUAUGUAUAUAGAAAAAUUAAAUUUAAACAUACAAUUAAAUCCAAUUUUAAAUAUGGAUGAAGAAGAAAGUUAUAUUUUUGGUCGAAUAUAUACUGAUAACGAUAUAAAAAUAAGUGAAACAAAUAUUAUAUUAGAAGGGAAUAUAGAUAUUAAUAAUGGAAAUAAAACACAACUAUUAAAUAUAAAUAAUAUGAAACGUAUAUGUUUUUUUUUAGGCCAAAUAUUAACUAUAAAAGGUAAAAAAGAAAUUAAUCAAUUUAGUACAAAAUACUAUGUUAGUGAUAUACAUGCAGGUUUACCUACAUUUUUAAAUGCAAAAUUGAAUAUAGAUUUUUUAUUGAAACAUUUUAAUUGUAAGGAAAUAGAAGAAGAUAAUAAAAUAGAAAAGGUUUAUAAUCAGGACCAUAUAAUACAGUCAUAUAAUAAUGAUAAUAUACAUAUCAUGAUAUGUAAUGGAUAUACAUAUAUAGAUAAUGAGUAUAAUGAUAAUUUAGAUAGUUUUUUAAAAAUUGUAAAUGAAAAAUUACCACAUGUAGUUAUUAUUUUAGGUCCCUUUUUAUAUAUUCGUAGUAAUGAGACCAUACAAAAAAUUGGUGAUAUUAAUGUUAUAUAUGAAUCUAUUUUUAAUAAAAUUAUAAAAGUAGCAAAAAAAGAAUCUUUAGAAAAAACACAGUUUUAUAUAAUACCAUCUUUAUAUGAUCCAAUUAAUAUUUAUCCACUACCCCAACCUCCUUUUUUUUAUGAACAAAAUUAUAAUAAUAUGAACUUACAAAAUGUACAUU
rnacentral:lncRNA from 1 species